AUGGAAAAUGGCCUCGUCUGCGCCUUAUCCGUCGGUCUCCGUUCACGACGAGGCAAUGAUUGAAGGGAGCGAUCGGGGCCACUCGUAUUGCGACGUUAGAGGUGAAAUUCUUGGAUCGUCGCAAGACGCACUGCAGCGACGGCGUGUGGCAAGUACGUUUUCCUCGAUCAAGAGCGAAAGUCCAUUUUCAGGAACAGUCCUCAGUCAAAUCGUCCAACCCAUGCUAGCAUGGAAAGCGGACGUUAAACGAUGAUGAUGAUGAUUAUUUCAAAUUUUUA
rnacentral:ncRNA from 1 species